AGAGUUUGAUCCUGGCUCAGGACGAACGCUGGCGGCGUGCCUAACACAUGCAAGUCGAACGGGGUAGCAAUACCCAGUGGCAGACGGGUGAGUAACACGUGGUCAACCUACCUUUGUGUGGGGGAUAACUAGCCGAAAGGUUAGCUAAUACCGCAUACGAUCGUUUUGAGGCAUCUCUGAACGAUGAAAGAAGCAAUUCG
rnacentral:rRNA from 1 species